rnacentral:rRNA from 1 species
CCGCGGUAAGACAGAGGGUGCAAACGUUGCUCGGAAUCACUGGGCGUAAAGGGCGCGUAGGCGGAUCGGGAAGUCGGGUGUGAAAUCCCUGGGCUCAACCUAGGAACUGCAGUUGAAACCGCUUGUCUUGAAUACCUGAGAGGGUGGGGGAAUACCUGGUGGAGAAGUGAAAUUCGUAGAGAUCAGGUGGAACACCGGAGGCGAAGGCGCCUGCCUGGCAGUGUAUUGACGCUGAGGUGCGAAAGUGCGGGGAGCAAAC